rnacentral:lncRNA from 1 species
UGUCACUGCAGCUCCACCACAUCUCGUUAGGGCUGCUGCUGGUCUGCCCAUGAGCAUCAGCUUUGGGGGAUUUCCCUGUUCAUACAGCAGCUGGCAUCUGCUCUGAAGUCUCUCCCAGCACCCACAGGCACACCAGGACUAGAAGUGGAAUCAGGCAAGGAUGUUUUAAAAGGACCAUCAUGGAGCAGAGCCACGGAGCCUGGGACACCUUAAGCAGCUUCUCCCAAGACCUCAGAAGAGACAUCACAGAGCUGAGCUCCCUGAGCUGAACCCAAGUCCCAAGCCAAGCCUGCAUCUUUCCACUUUCCCAGGGCUCCUCACAUUCCGUAUCACAAACCACUUUUUAAAAGUUUAUGAGUUUGCCUUCAAAGACUUUGGAUGCAUCAGGAUUUCAGGUAGGUACAACACACUGGACAAAUGACACCACCAGACUCUCUUUAUCAAUAGAUAAUUGAUAUCAAUUUUCAAGCUGAAAGUCAUCUCUUUAAAUGAGUAUAAGCCUUUUCUUGCUCUAAGGGCAGGGCUUUUAUCUUCCUGCCUUUUGUAUCCACCACUAUUUUUCCAGAUCCAAUAAGAAAAGCCCACCUGAAUCCACUACAGCGUUCAAAAUGAUUGAAUU